CGCGGCAGCUGCGGGGUGAACCGACUGCGGCCGGUACCGGGCAGGGCCCGCGGCACGGGGCUGGGCGGGCGCGGUGCGGGCUGCAGGCCUAAGCAGGCGGCGGCUGAGGUCAGCAGGCUGUCCUGAGGCUCCGGGUGUCACGCUGCCGCGUCGUUACCUGCACUUUUGCUUCAGAUGGCCAGAAAAUAUUUUAAUGACCCUAAUGACCAUCGUGUCUGUUUCUUCGGUUGGACUUAGCUCCUGCUGUAGGUGUGUUAUGUGGGUGGAGGCAAAAAAAAAAAAAAAAAGCAUAAGAAAUUAAAAUAUUAAUCCUGUCCCUACCAAUAAACAACGCUUGGAGAAAAGUUGAAGCAGAAAUGAAUAUUCUUGUUUCAGCAUCUGCAUGUGGGUGAUUCCCUGUAAAAUGUGUCGAGUGAUUUAUUAAGGUCUGACCCAGCAAAGUGCAGAGAAGGCUCAUAUCCCACUGGCUUCAGAAGCAAUUAAGGGCUUUUCCAUGCACCUUCCAGGAUCAAGUUCUGAGGAUUCGGCAGUUCUCCUGGACUACACUUGUGUUCAGAUUUUUGUACGCUAACUUUCUUCGUCAUGCUUUCAUUUUGCACUGAGGUCAAAUAAAAGCUGUAUCCAAAACUUUCUUACUGAGGAAAAAAAAUCAGUUAAAUUAAUAUGAGUUUGAGCAAGAAAGGAAUACAGGCAUGAGUAAGAAGUUUGUCACAGCUAGUUUUUAUCUGGCAAAGAUUACUUGAGAUUUUCAUUCCAAAAAAAAAGUCACAGUCUACACCUGAAAAAAUUAUAGCUGUUAUAGUAAAUAAUAAAUAAAAUAUAGCAAGAAUAUUUACAUUGUAAUGAACAAUUUGUAGAACGAAAGCUAACAUUCAGCAAUUCUACCUGUGUUUCUGUCUUGAGAAUUUCACUCUGCCACAAAACAACAUGUAAAUCAAUGGAAAAUACUGGGAAUUGUAAAUCAAUAGCAGUUAUUUUACUGCUAAAAAGAAAAUCCAUUAUUCUAAUUUUCCUUGUUUGCUGUUUGCCCUCACACUCUAGAAUGUUCUCUUUUUUUUCUUUGAUAUUUUAAAAGCUGAUUUUAGGCAGUCUGUGAAGUAACAGUGAUCAGGAAAAUCUGCAAGGCAUUUGAAAGGAUUGCAUAAUCCAGAGGAUUUAUCUACAUCUGAUUGAAUUGAUUGACUAAGGAAAAAAAAACUUUUUUUUUUUUUAAAUGCAUGCUGCUUUUUAGAACACAAUGUAAGAGCAUUAAGUAUUUUAACAGGUAGUCUAAUUUGAACUAGUAAAAAGACAGCACAGCAUUCUUAAAUUCAGGAAAAAAAAUGUUCUUUCAGUUGUGUCUUUGCUAACAAUUUGGAAGCAUCCAUUGUAUUACUACUGCAGUGUUAUUGAGCUAGUUUUAUUAAGGCAAAUUUAUAGCAAUGUUAGAAAUUAAUACCACUCUUAUUUCCUCCACUGCCUGGCUUUAUUGAAUGCCAUGGGGCAUAUUAAUCAGUAAAGCCAAGUAGUGCAUGAAAUAAAAGUAUAAAUUAACCUGUAACAUGAAUGUAAAACGGGGCUUAAUAAAAUAGAAAUAAAUAACACUUUAAUGAUAAUCAACCCUGCCUGGCUUAGCCAAGCACAUAGUGUAAUAAUGCUAAAUACAAAAAAAAAAAAAGUAUUUAAAUAAAGUUUAAAUCAUGACACAAACUACAUAAUUUCCAAGGUUAAUACUUAAUUCACUAUAUUGUUUAAACACACAUAAGUUUGUGCAAAAACAACCACCUUUCUGGCCUGAAACUUCACCUAGCAAAAGUCCUGUCAACUUUGGAAGUAGGCCCAAAACACAGUGACUGAGAAUGUGAGAAGGAUUUCAGAGCAUUUCUGCAUUCUAAGCAUCUGUAUAAACAAAAAAGAGAUCUUUGCACACUAUAUUUUGUAUACACCCAAAAAGUAUCUCCAAUUAUCAACUAAAACCA